GGCCGGUGCGGGAGCUAUACAUGCAGUCGAACGCUUUGUCUUUAAUUGAUCUGACGAGCUUGCUCUGAUUUGAUUUUAUCUGACAAAGAGUGGCGAACGGGUGAGUAACACGUGGGUAACCUACCUCUUAGCAGGGGAUAACAUUUGGAAACAAGUGCUAAUACCGUAUAAUACCAACAACCGCAUGGUUGUUGGUUGAAAGAUGGUUCUGCUAUCACUAAGAGAUGGACCCGCGGUGCAUUAGCUAGUUGGUAAGGUAACGGCUUACCAAGGCAAUGAUGCAUAGCCGAGUUGAGAGACUGAUCGGCCACAAUGGGACUGAGACACGGCCCAUACUCCUACGGGAGGCAGCAGUAGGGAAUCUUCCACAAUGGGCGCAAGCCUGAUGGAGCAACGCCGCGUGUGUGAUGAAGGGUUUCGGCUCGUAAAACACUGUUAUAAGAGAAGAACGGCACUGAGAGUAACUGUUCAGUGUGUGACGGUAUCUUACCAGAAAGGAACGGCUAAAUACGUGCCAGCAGCCGCGGUAAUACGUAUGUUCCAAGCGUUAUCCGGAUUUAUUGGGCGUAAAGCGAGCGCAGACGGUUAUUUAAGUCUGAAGUGAAAGCCCUCAGCUCAACUGAGGAAUGGCUUUGGAAACUGGAUGACUUGAGUGCAGUAGAGGAAAGUGGAACUCCAUGUGUAGCGGUGAAAUGCGUAGAUAUAUGGAAGAACACCAGUGGCGAAGGCGGCUUUCUGGACUGUAACUGACGUUGAGGCUCGAAAGUGUGGGUAGCAAACAGGAUUAGAUACCCUGGUAGUCCACACCGUAAACGAUGAGUGCUAGAUGUUCGAGGGUUUUCCGCCCUUGAGUGUCGCAGCUAACGCAUUAAGCACUCCGCCUGGGGAGUACGACCGCAAGGUUGAAACUCAAAGGAAUUGACGGGGACCCGCACAAGCGGUGGAGCAUGUGGUUUAAAUUCUAAGCAACGCGAAGAACUUACCAGGUCUUGACAUCCCUUGCUAAAUCCUAGAAAUAGACGUUCCCUUCGGGGACAAGGUGAACAGGUGGUGCAUGAUUGUCGUCAGCUCGUGCCGUGAGAUGUUGAGUUUAGGCCCGGCACGAAGCGCUCCCUUAU
rnacentral:rRNA from 1 species